AGUGAGGAUAGUUUCCAAGUCUUCACAGUGAGCACCAAAGAGUUCCUCAAAGGGGAGAAUGUAAAUCCAGAUGUCAAUGAAAUACUGAAACUCAAGGAAAUUUUGAAAAAUCUAAAUGACGCUCAUUCAGAGACCUCAAACUAUGUGUCUGGAGCUCAUGGGAUUCUGUCUUUGAUUCAAGGAGCCAAAAGCAGAGAAGUGGUUGAACAAAAAAACGAGGUGUGUGCAGUCCUUGAGGGAAACUUGAGCAUCCAACAUAAUCGAGUCAAAAAAGCAAUUGAAGACAUUACAAAAGCUU